GCCUUCGUGGUGUAACGGUUAACGCACUCGACGCGUAUUUCGAGAAAUCCGGGUUCGAGUCCCGGCGAGAGCA
rnacentral:tRNA from 1 species